AGACAGCAGUAGCCGCGGUAAUACGUAGGUGGCAAGCGUUGUCCGGAAUUAUUGGGCGUAAAGGGCUCGCAGGCGGUUUCUUAAGUCUGAUGUGAAAGCCCCCGGCUCAACCGGGGAGGGUCAUUGGAAACUGGGAAACUUGAGUGCAGAAGAGGAGAGUGGAAUUCCACGUGUAGCGGUGAAAUGCGUAGAGAUGUGGAGGAACACCAGUGGCGAAGGCGACUCUCUGGUCUGUAACUGACGCUGAGGAGCGAAAGCGUGAGGAGCGAACAGGAUUAGAUACCCCAGUAGUCCCUGUCUCUUAUAC
rnacentral:rRNA from 1 species